ACAAGCAUGUUGUACAAACCUCAGUGACACUUGGGUCGUUAGUCAGCACUGUAUUACCAUAACAAGUGACCGGAGAAGAAAGAGAGGAAAGAACAAGUGACCGGAGAAGAAAGAGAGGAAGAAGAAAGAGAGGAAGAAGAAAGAGAGGAAGAAGAGAGAGAGGAAAGCCAAAAAUAGAUGUGAGAAAAGAGGAACAGACUUGUGGUGGGGGGAAGGGUUGAUUUAGACCAGGGGAAUGAGUGAAAGAUGGAGAGAUAGAGAGAUAGAGAGAUGGAGAGAUGGAGAGAUGGAGAGAUAGAGAGAUAGAGAGAUAUAGAGAUGGAGAGGUGGAGAGAUGCAGAGAUGGAGAGGUGGAGAGAUGGAGAGAGAGAGA
ensembl:lncRNA